ACUCAAAUGAAUUGACGGGGGCCCGCACAAGCGGUGGAGCAUGUGGUUUAAUUCGACGCAACGCGCAGAACCUUACCCAGACUUGACAUCUAUCAAACCCGGCCCAAAAGCUGGGGUGCCCGCAAGGGAAUGGUAAGACAGGUGCUGCAUGGCUGUCGUCAGCUCGUGUCGUGAGAUGUUGGGUUAAGUCCCGCAACGAGCGCAACCCUCGCCUUUAGUUGCUCCGCAAGGAGAUCUCUAGAGGGACCGCCAGUGAUAAGCUGGAGGAAGGUGGGGAUGACGUCAAGUCCUCAUGGCCUUUAUGUCUGGGGCUACACACGUGCUACAAUGGCGAGUACAAAGCGUUGCCAACCUGCGAAGGGGAGCUAAUCGCAUAAAACUCGUCUCAGUUCGGAUCGGAGUCUGCAACUCGGCUCCGUGAAGUCGGAAUCGCUAGUAAUCGCGGAUCAGCACGCCGCGGUGAAUACGUUCCCGGGCCUUGCACACACCGCCCGU
rnacentral:rRNA from 1 species